UCGUCAUCUUCAGAAUGGAAUAUCAUGGAAAGUGCGGAGGCAGGCAGCUAGGGUCAGCCCCUUCACCAAAGCAGUCACUGAGUUUGAGAGAGUGAUGUUAACUAUUUCACAACUCCUGCUUAGAGGCUCACAAUAUCCAUCCUUCAAUGGAGAGAGAGGCUGAUCUCUGUGAGCACGUGGCUGAACCUGCUUGUACGCCCCAUUCUUCAGCCUCAAGUGACACAGCUGUGGUGAGAGAAGCUCGCAAUCCUGGAGUAGCUGGGUCUGGACUCUCUUCUUGCAAACGGUGCUGCUGCCAGUUUAUAAAUUAACCCAGAUGGGCAGAAAUGGCAAUGGCAGCCCCAUCCUCCCUCCUAGCUUGCUGUACUAUAUG